UUACGACCAUAUCCCGUUGAAAUACCGGUUCUCCCCAGAUCACCGAAAUUAAGCUGCUUCGAGCCUCGUCAGUACCUAUAUAGGUAACCGCUUGGGAAUACUAGACGC